GAUGAACGCUGGCGGCGUGCUUAACACAUGCAAGUCGAACGAAGCAUUUGCGACAGAUUUUUUCGGAAUGAAGUUGCUUAUGACUGAGUGGCGGACGGGUGAGUAACGCGUGGGUAACCUGCCUUGUACUGGGGGAUAGCAGCUGGAAACGGCUGGUAAUACCGCAUAAGCGCACAAUGUUGCAUGACAUGGUGUGAAAAACUCCGGUGGGAUAAGAUGGACCCGCGUCUGAUUGGCGAGUGGGUGAGAUAACAGCCCACCAAGGCGACGAUGAUUAGCCGAGCGGGGAAGGGGACCGGCCGGAUUGGGACUGCGGCACGGACCAGACUGCGACGGGGGGGAGCAGAAGGGUAUAUUACAGAAGGGAGGAAACUCUGAUACAGCGACGCCGGGUGAGUGAAGAAGUAAUUCGUUAUGUAAAGCUCUAUCAGCAGGGAAGAUAGUGACGGUACCUGACUAAGAAGCUCCGGCUAAAUACGUG
rnacentral:rRNA from 1 species